CCCCGAGCCCUCUCCAGCGCGGCCGCCGCUCGCCAGGGGUGGGAUCAAGUUCAAUGUGUACUCAUGAAUCUGAAUCAAUUCGAUAAGUAUAGUGGCCGAAAAAAAGUAUUCGUACACCGUGAAGCGUUCGACUUCCGUUGCUAUUCAGCUUACGUGUAUAUAUAUAUAUAUACAUAUAUACAUAUACGUGAUGGUAAAUUAAUCGCUUCUUGCCUCGGAACGUGGGAACUUGAUGCAGCCUAUGCGGGACGACGCGUUUAACUAUGAAAAUACUAAUUCCGAAAGUUCUCUCUCCUGCUGGACUACGACUACCAACCGGCCAAGCCAAGCCAAGCCAGGCCAAGCCAGGCCAGGCCAGGCCAAGCCAGGCCGUCUAUCCACGCCGUGAAUCGCGCGCUCUACUUCGCGGAAUCGAGGGAACGAUCCACACAGAGGAGGACUCACGACACGGCCAGGGGAAGAAGCCUGAGACCUGAGCUCAGCGACGACGAUUCCAACAAAUUUGCACCUCUAAUCGCACCUCGCGAUACGAGUAUAAUGAGAGCAUGACGCCAGUCGAGGGCUAAGGAUGAAGGAGCUUAGCAAGGAACCUGAUUGGAUCUCUGAGGCCGGCCAGUGUGAGAGGCCGGGCCUCACCUUUGACCCCCUGUUCCACGUUUUCGUUUUAUCCUUCCUACCCUCUCGCCAACUCGUUCCUCUCGUUCGAUCUCUCGGUAGCCUCCGGGUCCUGUUCCACGCUCUCAUAUUCAUCUCAUUCUUAUUCUAUCGAUUUCACGCUGUUUCUGGUGCCGUUGUGCCUUCCUCGCCGGCUCACAGUCGCCUUGGGGAAUACCUAGGGGAAAUUAAUUUCGAGAGUCACUGAUCCCUUUCCUUUCCUCCCCCUCCUUUUUCUCUUUUUCUCUUUUCUCGUUUUCGGUUGGUAAAUUGGCGUAAAGGAGAGCCGAAGUUUUUUUUGAAAUUACAUAUCGGCGUGUUUGUGUAAAUUUCGAAGUGGCGAAGAGGAGAAGAAAUGAACAAUUGUUUGAAAAUAGAGAGUUUUUUUAAUUUUAUUCAAGAGUGCAAUAAAUUGAGAUGUGUUCUUUUUUUUAAUAGUUACUGGAAAGAAAAAGAAUUUGAAUAAGUAGGAAAUUGAUAAGAUGGAAAUUGCAUAAAUAAUCUAAGGAAUACAGUUACCAGGUAGGUUGUAGAUUUAAUGCAUGCCAUCUAAGCCGCUGCAUGUAGAGCAACGAUAGAUUGCAAAGCGUGACUGUUGAAUGAGAAUAUAUUUGGAACUACCAAUCAGAUAAAGUAUUAAGAAACAACAUUUGAAUCUUUAAAAUACAUAUUAAACGUAUCGAAUUAAAAUUUACAAUAAAUCUUCACUCCUCUGCAUGUGAUAAAAACUA